rnacentral:rRNA from 1 species
GCUAACACAUGCAGUCGAACGGCAGCACAGGAGAGCUUGCUCUCUGGGUGGCGAGUGGCGGACGGGUGAGGAAUACAUCGGAAUCUACCUUUUCGUGGGGGAUAACGUAGGGAAACUUACGCUAAUACCGCAUACGACCUACGGGUGAAAGUGGGGGACCGCAAGGCCUCACGCGAUUAGAUGAGCCGAUGUCCGAUUAGCUAGUUGGCGGGGUAAUGGCCCACCAAGGCGACGAUCGGUAGCUGGUCUGAGAGGAUGAUCAGCCACACUGGAACUGAGACACGGUCCAGACUCCUACGGGAGGUAGCAGUGGGGAAUAUUGGACAAUGGGCGCAAGCCUGAUCCAGCCAUACCGCGUGGGUGAAGAAGGCCUUCGGGUUGUAAAGCCCUUUUGUCGGGAAAGAAAUCCUGUCGAUUAAUACUCGGUGGGGAUGACGGUACCCAAAGAAUAAGCACCGGCUAACUUCGUGCCAGCAGCCGCGGUAAUACGAAGGGUGCAAGCGUUACUCGGAAUUACUGGGCGUAAAGCGUGCGUAGGUGGUGGUUUAAGUCUGCUGUGAAAGCCCUGGGCUCAACCUGGGAAUUGCAGUGGAUACUGGAUCACUAGAGUGUGGUAGAGGGAUGCGGAAUUUCUGGUGUAGCAGUGAAAUGCGUAUAGAUCAGAAGGAACAUCCGUGGCGAAAGCGGCAUCCUGGGCCAACACUGACACUGAGGCACGAAUGCGUGGGGGAGCAAACAGGAUUAGAUACCCUGGUAGUCCCACGCCCCUAAACGAUGCGAACUGGAUGUUGGGUGCAACUUGCCACCCAGUUAUCGAAGCUAACGUGUU